rnacentral:ncRNA from 1 species
ACUAACAACUCUAGCUAGACUUACACAUGCAAGUAUCCGCGCCCCGGUGAGAAUGCCCUUUAUGCCCUGCUCGGGACUGAGGAGCUGGUAUCAGGCACACUUAAAUGAAGCCCACGACGCCUUGCUUAUGGCCACACCCCCAUGGGAAUCCAGCAGUGAUAGACAUUAAGCUAUAAGUGAAAACUUGACUUAGUUAGUGCUUACAGGGUCGGUAAAACUCGUGCCAGCCACCGCGGUUAUACGAGAGACUCAAGUUGUUAGUCGUCGGCGUAAAGAGUGGUUAAGAGAUACAAAAAACUAAAGCCGAACGCCUUCAGAGCAGUUAUACGCUUCCGAAGGUAAGAAGCCCGACUACGAAAGUGGCUUUAUCAAUUCUGACUCCACGAAAGCUAGGGAACAAACUGGGAUUAGAUACCCCACUAUGCCUAGCCCUAAACAUUGACAGUACGUUACAUCAGCUGUCCGCCUGGGUACUACGAGCACGAGCUUAAAACCCAAAGGACUUGGCGGUGCUUUAGACCCAUCUAGAGGAGCCUGUCCGAGAACCGAUAAUCCCCGUUAAACCUCACCCUUCCUUGUUCUUUCCGCUUAUAUACCACCGUCGCCAGCCUACCCUGUGAGGGAUUCAAAUAGUGGGCGUAAUCGGUACAACCCCAAACGUCAGGUCGAGGUGUAGCGUAUGGAGGGGGAUGAGAUGGGCUACAGUCACUAAGAACAGUGAAUACGAAUGAUCGCUCUGAAACGAGUAUCUGAAGAAGGAUUUAGUAGUAAGCAAAAAGCAGAGUGUUUUGCUGAAUUUGGCGCUGAAGCGUGCACACACCGCCCGUCACUCUCCCUGAAUUAGUCCGGAUGAUAACUAAUACCCCACAUAAGAAACAAGGGGAGACA